GCUGCUCCAUCUCAACUGGCUCUCUUUCUCAUAUCAAUAUCAGAUAUGUAUGUUGUAACAUCCCACAUUGAUCAACGGAGAAGGGGGUGAUGUGCCUUAUAUGUACAUGCCCGUCUCCAUCUAGCAUGAGGCCUUUUGGGAGCUCAUUGGCUUCGGAGUCAUGGGAACUCUGAAGUUAAGUGAGUUGGGGCUAGAGCAAUCCCAGGAUGGGUGACCCACUAGGAAGUUGCUCGUGAGUUUCCAGAAACAAAACAGUGAAGGCAGAGAGGGGGGCCCAAAGCGGACAAUAUCGUGUUACGGCGGAGCCGAUCCCGGGAUGUGACAUAUGUGGCUUAAAAUAUGAAACUGUUGAAAUAGACAUCUAUAUAAAUACAAU
rnacentral:lncRNA from 1 species